AGAGUUUGAUCCUGGCUCAGGACGAACGCUGGCGGCGCGCCUAACACAUGCAAGUCGAACGAGCGAGAGAGAGCUUGCUUUCUCGAGCGAGUGGCGAACGGGUGAGUAACGCGUGAGGAACCUGCCUCAAAGAGGGGGACAACAGUUGGAAACGACUGCUAAUACCGCAUAAGCCCACGGGUCGGCAUCGACCAGAGGGAAAAGGAGCAAUCCGCUUUGAGAUGGCCUCGCGUCCGAUUAGCUAGUUGGUGAGGUAACGGCCCACCAAGGCAACGAUCGGUAGCCGGACUGAGAGGUUGAACGGCCACAUUGGGACUGAGACACGGCCCAGACUCCUACGGGAGGCAGCAGUGGGGAAUAUUGCACAAUGGGGGAAACCCUGAUGCAGCGACGCCGCGUGGAGGAAGAAGGUCUUCGGAUUGUAAACUCCUGUUGUUGAGGAAGAUAAUGACGGUACUCAACGAGGAAGUGACGGCUAACUACGUGCCAGCAGCCGCGGUAAAACGUAGGUCACAAGCGUUGUCCGGAAUUACUGGGUGUAAAGGGAGCGCAGGCGGGAAGACAAGUUGGAAGUGAAAUCCAUGGGCUCAACCCAUGAACUGCUUUCAAAACUGUUUUUCUUGAGUAGUGCAGAGGUAGGCGGAAUUCCCGGUGUAGCGGUGGAAUGCGUAGAUAUCGGGAGGAACACCAGUGGCGAAGGCGGCCUACUGGGCACCAACUGACGCUGAGGCUCGAAAGUGUGGGUAGCAAACAGGAUUAGAUACCCUGGUAGUCCACACCGUAAACGAUGAUUACUAGGUGUUGGAGGAUUGACCCCUUCAGUGCCGCAGUUAACACAAUAAGUAAUCCACCUGGGGAGUACGACCGCAAGGUUGAAACUCAAAGGAAUUGACGGGGGCCCGCACAAGCAGUGGAGUAUGUGGUUUAAUUCGACGCAACGCGAAGAACCUUACCAAGUCUUGACAUCCCUUGACGAUGCUGGAAACAGUAUUUCUCUUCGGAGCAAGGAGACAGGUGGUGCAUGGUUGCCGCCAGCCCGUGCCGGGAAAUUUGGGUUAAGCCCCCAACGAGCCAACCCUUAUGGUCAGUUACUACGCAAGAAGACUCUGGCCAAACUGCCGUUACAAAACGGAAGAAGGGGGGAUAAACUCAAAUCCUAUGCCCUUUUAGACUUGGGCUACCCCGGUCCACAAUGGGGUUAACCAAAGGAAACCAAACCCCGAGGGGGGGAAAAAUCAAAAACAACGUCCCAGUUCGGACUGCAGGCUGCAACUCGCCUGCACGAAGUCGGAAUUGCUAGUAAUCGUGGAUCAGCAUGCCACGGUGAAUACGUUCCCGGGCCUUGUACACACCGCCCGUC
rnacentral:rRNA from 1 species